UACGUAGGGCGCAAGCGUUGUCCGGAAUUAUUGGGCGUAAAGAGCUCGUAGGCGGUCUGUUACGUCUGCUGUGAAAACCCAGGGCUUAACCCUGGGCUUGCAGUGGAUACGGGCAGACUAGAGGCAGGUAGGGGAGAAUGGAAUUCCCGGUGUAGCGGUGAAAUGCGCAGAUAUCGGGAGGAACACCGGUGGCGAAGGCGGCGAUCUGGACGAUGACUGACGCUGAGACGCGAAAGCGUGGGGAGCAAACAGG
rnacentral:rRNA from 1 species